rnacentral:rRNA from 1 species
UACGGAGGGUCCAAGCGUUAUCCGGAUUUAUUGGGUUUAAAGGGUACGUAGGCGGAAAAUUAAGUCAGUAGUGAAAGCCUCCCGCUUAACGGGAGAACUGCUAUUGAUACUGAUUUUCUUGAAUAUAGUUGAAGUAGGCGGAAUACGACAUGUAGCGGUGAAAUGCAUAGAUAUGUCGUGGAACACCGAUCGCGAAGGCAGCUUACUAAGCUAUUAUUGACGCUGAUGUACGAAAGCGUGGGGAGCGAACAGG